UGGAGGCAUGAGAAGGUGGAGCAGUCCCCUGUACUGCAUCCUACUGGUUAUUUCCUCCUACAGUAAUAAUGCUUCUGAUUAUUCACUUCCCAUUUUCUUCUGGGAAAUGACUUCAUUUUGCAGUGACAUUAU